GAUACACUGUCCACAUUCUCAUGUUGUGAGGUCACUAAGAAGGGUUUGUUUGGAAACAAUGGAAGCUUCAGUUUCUCCCUGUCCAACCCUGGAUGGCAAGGUACAUAGACACAGACAUAUGCCCCACAGAUUUGUGGCACUACCUAGUGGCUGGGCAUCCCUAAUAAGUCCUCAGAGAAAUACAGAGAGACCAUCUGCAGGAGUCAUUGGUAGGUCCUUUCUGUGCUUGCCAAUGGAAAUCAGGACCUACAAAAGACUUAAUGAAUUAAUCAAGUUAUUUUCAUCAUCAGCGUUUCAGACCAACAUACUAGUGAGAUUCAGAUUUUAA
rnacentral:lncRNA from 1 species